CAGAUGGGGAUGAAUGGGGACACUGUGGGGAUGAAUGGGGGGACAAAUGGACGCAUAUAGUGACACCCCCCCACAGCCGCCAUCAAGGCACCAGCGCCGGACGUCACUACGCCGUGGGACAACGAAUAUCAAGAGCACUGCGUUGCCCCCCCCCAGACGGGUCCGUGUCGCGCCGCCUUCCAGCGCUGGUUUUACAGCCCCGAAUCCCGGCAGUGCCGGACCUUCAUCUACGGCGGCUGCCGGGGGAACAGGAAA